rnacentral:lncRNA from 1 species
AGUCAUCAACCACGAGGGUAAAACAAAAGUCCUUCUAUCAACCCUCCUUAAAAGAAUUAAUCUCACAUUAUUACAGUGGAGAUGUAAUAAAAAAGAUACUAUACAAAAAUCAAAUAAUGAUCAACAGGAUUCCUUGUCAUGGAAAGCCAUGGUACAAGAAGAGUGAUCAUCAAAACAGCCAAGACAGGGGAGGCCAAAAUGAAUGGAGCUAUGCUAAUGCCUGCAAAGAAAAUUCCAACUCUACCCAGACUCAAAGUACUCACCAAGAAAAUCACAGUAACCCUGUGCAGGUUUCUACCCCUGAACAGAUGCAAAAAUUAUUACAAAUCAUAGAGAACACCCAGACACAAAAUACCCACAGCAUCAAUCAAGUUCAAAGAAACAUCCCUGGAGAAAAUCAAGGUACUUUCUCCUGGAUUAUUGACACUAGGCCACUGAUCAUGUGACCCAUGAAAAGAAAUAUUUCAUUACGUUUCAGAAAAUUAAACCCAUAACAGUCAAACUUCCAAAUAAUUCCGUGGUUACAGCCCAAUAUGUUGGAACUAUCCAAUUUUCUAAAAAUUUUAUCAUUUUUAUUGUUCUCUACAUUCUUGAAUUCUCUUUUAAUCUCAUAUAUGUACAAAGCCUGACAAGGGUUUUAAAUUGUUUUCUAACUUUUUCUUCUAAGACUUGCCAGAUUCAGGACAGCUCUACCUUGAAGAUGAUUGGGCAUGCUAAAGUUUUCAAAGGCCUUUACUAUCUUCAGUCUUUUCCUGUUUUUACCCAGUAUUAUGUACCCAAGGCUGUUUUUUCUUGUAAACAUGUUAAUGAUGAUCUAUGGCACUAUAGAUUAGGACAUCUAGGACACAGAAUUAUAGAACAAAUAUGUAAAAGUUUUCCCCAUGUUCAAAUGCCAUCUAAAGUUUUUUGUUAUGUUUGUCAUUAUGCUAAACAACAUAAACUGCCCUUUUCUCAAAGCAUGAUUGUUUCUGCUAAUUGUUUUGAUCUAAUACACUGUGAUAUAUGGGGACCCAUUUCUAUAUCUUCUAUCCAUGGACACAAAUACUUUCUUACCAUAGUAGACGUAUAUAGUAAACACACCUAGACCUUUUUAAUGCACAAUAAAGGACAGACUAGAGAACUCUUACAGAAUUAUAUCUUAAAAAUCAAAAACCAAUUUGGAAAAACUAUUAAAACUCUUAGAUUUGAUAAUGGUCCUGAAUUUAAUUGUAUUAGUAUGUAUAAUUCCUAUGGUAUUGAACAUCAAAGAAGUUGCAUUGAGACACCCCAACAGAACUCUAUUGUUGAACGAAAACAUCAAGAUAUAUUAAAUAAAACUAGAAGUCUUCUUUUUCAAUCUGGAAUUCCUAAUGCUUAUUGGUGCUAUGUUGUUUCUCAUGUUGUCUAUCUGAUAAAUAGGCUACCAACUUCUGUUCUUAAUGCUAAGACUCCUUAUGACUUGAUGUAUAACACUCCUCCCACUUAUUUGAACUUGAAAACCUUUGGUUGUCUUUGUUUUGCUUCAACUUUAGAACAUAACAGACACAAGCUUGAUUCUAGAGCUAGGAAAGGUGUUUUCUUAGGUUAUAAAAAUGGAGUCAAAGGAUAUAUUAUACUUGAUGCUAAUACUAGAGAAAUUUUUCUAAGCAAAAAUGUUAUUUUCCAUGAGAAUAUUUUUCCUUAUAAAAAUCAACAAGAUAGUGAGCAGAAUUGUGCUGAAAAGGAGAUUGAAAUUGUUUUUUCGAAUGAAUUCUGGCAUGGUCCUAACUGUAAUGAGACUCAAGAUUCUCUAGAGAAUAUAAACACUGAAUAGGAACCUGAUUACAGAGAAAAUACUAGCACAAAUAUUGACAAUAAUCAUACUGAUACUGAUAAUAGUCCUAGACGCCCCACUAGAACCAAAAGGGUCCCUGGAUAUCUUAAUGAUUAUGUCCAUCAAGUUAAUCAAUCUUCUCUGCAUGCUAGAAAUAAUUACAAAACUCCAUAUCCUAUUUCUAGUGUUUUGUGUUAUGAUUCUUUGUCUAUAAAACAUCUAAAAUAUACUCUAGUUGUCUCUGCCGAUAAGGAGCCUAGAUCCUAUAAUGAAGCCAAAGAAAAACAUGAGUGGGUUGCAGCUAUGCAGAAAGAGCUCAAAGCUUUGUAAGAUAAUGGAACUUAGACCUUAACUCAACUCCCUCUUGGUAAAAACUCCAUUGGACACGGAUGGGUUUACAAAAUAAAACACAAAGCAGAUGGCAGCAUAGAAAGAUACAAAGCUCGCCUUGUUGCCAAAGGAUAUACACAACAAGAAGGUAUAGACUUUCUAGACACUUUUUCACCUAUUGCUAAGUUAACUACUGUCAGAAUGAUUCUAGCCAUUGCUGCCGCAAAGGAUUGGCAUCUACAUAAACUUGAUGUAGAUAAUGCCUUCCUUCAUGGAGACUUAAAUGAAGAAGUGUACAUGGAACCACCACCAGGGCUGGAUAUUCGGGAAAAAGGACAAGUUUGCAGGUUAACCAAGUCUCUAUAUGGGCUCAAACAAGCGAGCAGACAAUGGUUUGAUAAACUUUCUUCCUUUUUAAUUUCUGUUAAUUAUACUCAAUCCAAAUCUGACCACUCUCUUUUUAUUAAGACUUCUACAAGUUUUACAACCCUUCUUGUGUAUAUAGAUGGCAUUAUUUUAACAGGAAACUAUUAAAGAGAUUGACCAUAUUAAGGCUCUUCUUCAUCAUGCUUUCCGGAUCAAAAACCUAGGAGAGCUAAAGUAUUUUCUGGGGUUUGAAGUUGCCAGAUCUAAGAAAGGAAUACAACUAUGCCAAAGAAAAUAUGCUUUGGACAUUCUUGAAGACACAAGGAUGUUGGGAUUUAAGCCUUGCAUAACUCCUUUUUUGAGUGAAACAAGUUCCUUACACAAAAAUGAAAAUCACUUGACUGAUCCUAAGUUUUACCGCAGGCUAAUAGGGAAGUUUCUUUACCUUACUAAUACUAGACCUGAUCUAUGUUUCUCUGUUAAUCUUCUUAGUCAAUUUGUUCAUUCUCCUACUGAAUAUCACUAUCGGGCUUUGCAGCACAUGCUUAGAUACAUUAAGUCCAGUCCUUCACAAGGCCUCUUCUUUGCUGUCAAUUCUCAUAUCCAGAUCAAAGCUUUCAGCGACUCAGACUGGGCAACGUGUCCUAAUACGAGGAGAUCUACCACUCGCUUUUGUAUUUUUCUUGGAUCCUCACUUGUUUCAUGGAAAACUAAAAAACAAAGUAUAGUUUCCAGGUCAUCCACCGAAGCUGAGUAUCGAGCACUGGUUACUACAGUUUGCAAAAUCCAAUGGAUCUCUUACAUCUUACAAGAUCUCAAUAUUGAGACCACUACCAUCGCUGCUCUCUACUGCGACAAUAAGUCUGCCAGACAUAUUGCCCAUAAUCAAAGCUACCACGAAAGGACUAAACACAUCGAACUCGAUUGUCACAUUGUUCGAGAGGAGAUUAAAGCGAAUCUCCUUCAUCACUUGCCUAUUCGUUCUAACGAACAGCUCUCGGACAUAUUCACUAAAUUUUCUCACCGUGUGCAUUUUCAGUUUAUUGUUCCCAAACUUGGAUUGGUAAACAUACAUAAUCCAGCUUAAGAGGAGGCUAUUAGAGUUAGUUUUCUGUUAGGAUUGUUUGUGUUUAGAGUGUUUUACCCGUACCCCUUUCCUAACCUUUAAAAGGUUAGGUUUUCCCCUUCUGUAAUCAUUCAUUUGGAACAUUCAGAACAUACAGUAUUAUCACAAAAUUAUCACUUUCAGAUAUGACAAGUUGAUGGUUUUCUUACCAUUCCUUAUUCCUCUUGCUCCGAUCUAUCUUUUUCUCUCUUCCGAUAUCAGCAACGAAGGUCUUUCGGUGUGUCUACGGUGGCUUCUCUCUCUACUGGCAACGAGGUUCUCUUCUCUACUUCUCUUUUUAUCCAUCGUAGAAGUCAAACAACGUUUAGC